UACGUAGGUGGCAAGCGUUGUCCGGAAUUAUUGGGCGUAAAGCGCGCGCAGGUGGUCCUUUAAGUCUGAUGUGAAAGCCCACGGCUCAACCGUGGAGGGUCAUUGGAAACUGGGGGACUUGAGUGCAGGAGAGAAGAGUGGAAUUCCACGUGUAGCGGUGAAAUGCGUAGAGAUGUGGAGGAACACCAGUGGCGAAGGCGACUCUGUGGCCUGUAACUGACACUGAGGCGCGAAAGCGUGGGGAGCAAACAGG
rnacentral:rRNA from 1 species